rnacentral:tRNA from 1 species
GCCCCCCUAGCUCAGUCGGUAGAGCGUUUCCAUGGUAAGGAAAAGGUCACCAGUUCGAUUCUGGUGGGGGGCUC